rnacentral:rRNA from 1 species
AGAAUCAACGCUGGCGGCGUGCCUAACACAUGCAAGUCGCACGAGAAAGUGGAGCAAUCCAUGAGUAAAGUGGCGCACGGGUGAGUAACACGUGACUAACCUACCCUCGAGUGGGGAAUAACCUAGGGAAACCUGGGCUAAUACCGCAUAACACUUACGAGUCAAAGCAGCAAUGCGCUUGAGGGAGGGGGUCGCGGCAGAUUAGCUAGUUGGUGAGGUAAUGGCUCACCAAGGCAGUGAUCUGUA